rnacentral:rRNA from 1 species
UACGAAGGGGGCUAGCGUUGCUCGGAAUCACUGGGCGUAAAGCGCACGUAGGCGGCUUGUUAAGUCAGGGGUGAAAUCCUGGAGCUCAACUCCAGAACUGCCUUUGAUACUGGCAAGCUUGGAGUCCGGGAGAGGUGAGUGGAACUGCGAGUGUAGAGGUGAAAUUCGUAGAUAUUGGGAAGAACACCAGUGGCGAAGGCGGCUAACCGGUCCAGAUCUGACGCUGAGGUGCGAAAGCGUGGGGAGCAAACAGG